rnacentral:lncRNA from 1 species
UAAUGGACAAUAAAGGAGACAGUUGCUGGAGUUUUGUUUGUUUUUUUUUUUUUGUUUUUGAGACUGGGUUUCGCUCUGUCAUCCAGGCUGACGGGCAAUGGCGGGAUCAUGGCUCAGUGCAGUUUCGAUCUCCUGGGCUCAAGUGGUCCUCCCACCUCAGCCUCCCAAGAAGUUGGGACCACAGGAGGGGGCCACCAUACCCGGCUAAUUUUUUUGAUGUUUUGUAGAUAUAGGGUCUCCCUAUGUUGCCCAGGUUGGUCUCUAACUCCUGAGCUCAAGUGUUCUGCCCACUUCAGCCUCCCAAAGUGCUAGGGUGAAAGGCCUGAGUCACCACUGCCAGCCAAUUGCUGAAGUUUUUGGAAAAGAAAAUUCUUGUCUGAUCCAUGGGAGUUGCUUCAAAGGUACUCUCUGCUUUUGUAGAUAUGAACUAGGAAGCAUGUAACUGUGGUUGCUUCUGACUACACUAGAAGACGCAGCCUAAGACGAAAACUGCUUCACAGGAGAUAGAGUGCAGCAGUGGAAAGAAAGCAGGCCACAGGAUUCUGCUGCAAAUUCUAACAGGAGGAGGCAAUGGCAGCCCUUACUAAAACCGCAGAACUACAGGAAGAGGAUCCCUGAGUGGGAUUCCUGUGUGAAAGGCAUUUUCACCUUUUUGUGUAUCUUCAGAAUCUUAACUUUCAUGAGAGAAGAAUAGAAAUGCAACAAUGGAACAAUCCACUGUAUACACGUAGCUGACAAUUUAAUAAACUUGAAGGAAAUGCU